GCGGCUGCCGACUCUCACCUGGUCCGCCGGCUGCGCCUGGCUCGCCCUGGCCCCCGGGGUGGGCUGCGGCUCCUGCUUCGCGGCCGUCAUCGCCGGCGGCCCGCGCUGGCGCUCGCUUCCUCGCGGGCGCUUCAGACUCGGGGACCGUCACUUGGCAGCGUUCGCAGCGAGCCGCGGCGGCGAGGCGAGACCAAGCGGCAAGUUAGUGCAGCGGCGAGCGGCGGGGCCCCGGCCCCUGACCGAGCUGCGGCGACGCCUCGUGCCUUCUUCCCGCAGUCCGCGCCCCCCACCGCCCGCCCCCGGGGGCUCCCCGCGCGGUGCUCAGCGCGCCAGGUGGAGCAGCCGGGCGCCGCGCUCCGGCCUCUCUUCGGCAACCGCAGCCGGGGGGGGGGAGAGCCCGGAGCGGCGCGAGAGCCCCCAACCCGCGCGCCCACGGCCGCCGGCUUCCGCGGUUACCCCGCCCCCCGCAGGCUUCCGCUAAAACCCGGAGAAGCGGAGCGCGCCCGUGCGAAGCACUGGGUGGCUCCAGCUCCGCCACUGCGCGCGCUCCAGCGCCCCAGAAGGCAGGGGGCAGCCCGGGGACCGGGGUCCCGGAGCCCCGUGGGAGGCGGGCAACACCUGUCGGGACCCGAGGGCGUGUCUGAGAUUGUGGCCUGAGGUGCUGCGCCUUCCGAUCCGGGGCAGCGGGCGUCCUGUAGCUGCGCCUUCCGAAUCCAGCCCAGAUUCUCCUACCAGCUGCUUGGGUCACGUCGGUGGAACUCCUAAAGGGAUGCCUUCAAAAUGUGUGAAUAAGCUUCAAUCAGACUGCCCUUCCCAAAGAAAAUAACUAUAAAUGCUGGAAAAACUACAAAACAGCCACCUGAAGGCACUGGCGAGAGACAAAAGCAAGCAAAUUCUGGAGAAGAGUCAACACUUGGAAGAAGGGAGCUGCACUGGGUACAUGGGGAAGGAACAGUGUCUCUGCAUGAGAAUGGCCAAAGAACAAGAUACAUUUCCCCGUGGAGAGCAAUCCUAGAGAGAGGGAAGCAUGGGUCAGAAUAAGGUGUACUGGCCCCAGGGUAAUAGCAUGUAUUUCUGUUGCAUUGGUGUUUCCAAAAUAAUGCUUCGGUUCCAAGUUUCAGGAAUUGGUUGGGGGAGCAUGGGGAUCAUACAGUGAUUCAGGAGCUUCCUUGCAAGUAAGUGAGUGAGCCAAUCAAAUAAUUUAUGUUUAAAUCUUUCACUGUGUUAAAUGUUGAAAAAUAAAGCAAGUGAAUUCCAUCCUAUGGUGUACACAGCCCUUAUGAUUAUCCGAUAUAGGUCUCAGCCUGAAAUAACUCUGCAUUUUCUCAGCCACUUUGCUUAACACAGUGUGAAGUGGAUCUAGGACAAGGAUACAAAAAAAAAAUACUAUUCUUCUGAGAUGACAUAAAGAUCU
rnacentral:lncRNA from 1 species